rnacentral:rRNA from 1 species
CCAAUAGCGUAUAUUAAAGUUGUUGCAGUUAAAAAGCUCGUAGUUGAAUUUCGGGAUUGACACAUCGGUCGUGCCUUAAGGGGUAUGAACUGGUGUAGUCAAUUUCUCACCUUCUGGAGAACCGCGAUGCCCUUAAUUGGGUGUCGCGGGGAACCAGGACCUUUACUUUGAAAAAAUUAGAGUGUUUAAAGCAGGCAUUUUGCUUGAAUACAUUAGCAUGGAAUAAUAAAAUAGGACGGCAUGAUUCUAUUUUGUUGGUUUCUAGGAUCCACGUAAUGAUUAAUAGGGAUAGUUGGGGGCAUUAGUAUUCAAUUGUCAGAGGUGAAAUUCUUGGAUUUAUUGAAGACUAACUACUGCGAAAGCAUUUGCCAAGGAUGUUUUCAUUAAUCAAGAACGAAAGUUAGGGGAUCGAAGACGAUCAGAUACCGUCGUAGUCUUAACCAUAAACUAUGCCGACUAGGAAUCAGACGAUGUUAAUUUUUUAAUGACUCGUUUGGCACCUUACG